GCCGAAACUCAGCUCAGUAUGCGAGCUAUCUUAAGACGAGUUAAUUCAACAACCAAACUAAUAUGCUAAAGUGCUGUUGAUGAGCUAGUAAUCAUUUCAAUUUCAGGCCACAUGAAAAUGUUCUUCUCAUUGUUUGUAGAACUUUAAAAAUGACUUGAACAACAAAUACUAUAACCACUAAUUUUUAUGACUAUCAUUUAGGUUACUAAUAUGAGAAUCUUAAAGAGAGAGAGCAUAAUGGUCCUCAUACAGUUAAUUCAGCAGUCUCUAAAACAACUAUUAGGACAUGGAAACCACUUGCACAUUCAACAUAGCAAUGAAGAGAAAUUUUUAGAGUUAUCUUCAUACUAGGCCAUAAGAAUACUGUUGACUUAUAUCGUGCAGAGGUGGGUUCAAGAUAAUGUUCAUGUCCAUAGUCAUUAUUAUUUUGGAUUUAUGUCUAAAUAUAUUCAAGUAAACUCUAACUAGUCAUUCAGGAAUUUAUCUUUAAACUAGUUUAU
rnacentral:misc_RNA from 1 species